rnacentral:rRNA from 1 species
UUCAUAGAGUGUAAAGGCAUAAGGGAGCUUGACUGCGAGACCUACAAGUCGAGCAGGGUCGAAAGACGGACUUAGUGAUCCGGUGGUUCCGCAUGGAAGGGCCAUCGCUCAACGGAUAAAAGCUACCCCGGGGAUAACAGGCUUAUCUCCCCCAAGAGUUCACAUCGACGGGGAGGUUUGGCACCUCGAUGUCGGCUCAUCGCAUCCUGGGGCUGUAGUCGGUCCCAAGGGUUGGGCUGUUCGCCCAUUAAAGCGGUACGCGAGCUGGGUUCAGAACGUCGUGAGACAGUUCGGUCCCUAUCCGUCGUGGGCGUAGGAAAUUUGAGAGGAGCUGUCCUUAGUACGAGAGGACCGGGAUGGACAUACCUCUGGUGUACCAGUUGUCGUGCCAACGGCAUAGCUGGGUAGCUAUGUGUGGACGGGAUAAGUGCUGAAAGCAUCUAAGCAUGAAGCCCCCCUCAAGAUGAGAUUUCCCAACUUCGGUUAUAAGAUCCCUCAAAGAUGAUGAGGUUAAUAGGUUCGAGGUGGAAG